AGGGACGGGGCUCAGUGGCAGAGCACCUGCUUGGUAUGCAGGUGGUCCCGGGUUCAAUCCCCGGCGUUUCCA